rnacentral:lncRNA from 10 species
CAGUGAAGUCAGAGAAGAAAUGGAAAAGGCCUUUGCCCUUUCUCUGUAUUUGUUGAUGGUUUCUCAUAAUAUAAAAUACUCCUUUAGCAAAGGCUAAUUGCAAGCCCUGUUCUCCAGAAACAGUGUGACUGAUUGAUUUGGAUUGUUACAGAAAACAAUGAUACAGAGAGAGCUGGAAUGCUUCUUUUGUUUUCUGAUGGAUUUCUCAUCCAGAUUCACAGCAAGCCCUGAACUGAAGACAUGAUGUGCAGCAUGCUCAACUGUAAUCAAUAUUUUACCAGGACAUUACUUAGAAGGAGGACAACAAACCUACAGCAGCACUGGGUAGUGGAAGCAUGGGAGAAAAAUCACAGCCUCUUCCCAAUCCCUCAUGCAUGGGGCAGAGAUUUCGGACAGUUCUCAACCAGGGAGAUGAUUUAUUCCAGGAAGACAUGGCCUGAAUUUUGACUUUCCAUCUCAGCCUCCUUUAAGAAUCCAUAGCCCACACUGACGUCUCCCCUUUUCCUUAAUUUGAUUCACAAACUGUCCCUGCAACACAAUUAGCAAGUAAUCCUGAGCCAUGCUGUCUUUCAAUGUGCAAACCUUGUAAAUGGUAGGUUUGGUAAUGGUUGUUGAUAGAUGAAUUGACCUUUACGAUGACUGAGUUCAUUUUAACACAGCAUAAGCAAAAUAGACCAUAUAUUAUAAAUUUCUGUAAGGCAAAUAGUAAUUCAAUAUUUUACUUUUUAUUAUGUAAAAAUGAUUAUACAGAUGAGCAUUUAGGAAAGGUAUUUUUAGUGAUUCUUAAUUCUAAAAUGUCACACAUUUCUAAGAAGUUGCACGAGACAAACAAAUAACAUUAUUGAAGUUUUAUAGAGUUAAAGGUCAAAAACAAAUGCUGAACUAAAAACUAUUCUUAUCAGUCACAUGUUCCUAUUUCUGGUGUUCACAGCAACUUUUAUUCAGUAAUGAGACCAGUACUUUUUGAUUUAUAGAUUCUCUAAAAUUAUCAAACAACUAACUGAAUAAGGUGCAAGGAGGAUUAUGAACUCUCAAAACUCAAAUGAUAAUAGUGACUCUUUAGGUCUGUACAAGAUUUAAUGAUUUGCCAUAAUUAAUGAUGAUGAUGAUGAUGAUGAUGAUGUACAGUGUCUCUAAUGCUCAAACUUCGCUAGGAGUUAGAUUUUUGUAAUUCUAUUUUAACAAAGGUCUGCCUUCAAACUCACUUUCUGUCCUACUACUUGAUGUAUAAUAUAUACAAAGAAAGUAGGAGAGAAAUCUUAUAUCACCCAAACCAUUAUACAUAAUAUGACCACAUUUUGGUUCUGAAACAUUUUAGAAUAUGUCCUAUCAAACUGUUCAGUAGAAUACAAUGCCU